rnacentral:rRNA from 1 species
GACGAACGCUGGCGGCGUGCUUAACACAUGCAAGUCGAACGAUGAAGCUAGAGCUUGCUCUGGUGAAUUAGUGGCGAACGGGUGAGUAACACGUGAGUAACCUGCCCCGAACUCUGGGAUAACUGCUGGAAACGGUAGCUAAUACUGGAUACGACCUACGAAGGCAUCUUCUGUAGGUGGAAAGAAUUUCGGUUCGGGAUGGACUCGCGGCCUAUCAGCUUGUUGGUGAGGUAAUGGCUCACCAAGGCGACGACGGGUAGCCGGCCUGAGAGGUUGACCGGCCACACUGGGACUGAGACACGGCCCAGACUCCUACGGGAGGCAGCAGUGGGGAAUAUUGCACAAUGGGCGCAAGCCUGAUGCAGCAACGCCGCGUGAGGGAUGACGGCCUUCGGGUUGUAAACCUCUUUUAGUAGGGAAGAUGCGAAAGUGACGGUACCUGCAGAAAAAGCACCGGCUAACUACGUGCCAGCAGCCGCAGUAC